CCUACGGGCGGCUGCAGUGAGGAAUAUUGGUCAAUGGGGGAAACCCUGAACCAGCAACGCCGCGUGAGGGAAGACGGUUUUCGGAUUGUAAACCUCUGUCCUCUGUGAAGAUAAUGACGGUAGCAGAGGAGGAAGUUCCGGCUAACUACGUGCCAGCAGCCGCGGUAAUACGUAGGGAACAAGCGUUGUCCGGAUUUACUGGGUGUAAAGGGUGCGUAGGCGGCGAAGCAAGUCAGGAGUGAAAUCUAUGGGCUUAACCCAUAAACUGCUUUUGAAACUGUUUCGCUUGAGUGAAGUAGAGGUAGGCGGAAUUCCCGGUGUAGCGGUGGAAUGCGUAGAGAUCGGGAGGAACACCAGUGGCGAAGGCGGCCUACUGGGCUUUAACUGACGCUGAGGCACGAAAGCGUGGGUAGCAAACAGGCUUAGAUACCCGGGUAGUC
rnacentral:rRNA from 1 species